UCUCAGUAUGCCAAGCCUCCUGCACAAGC
rnacentral:sRNA from 1 species